UAGAAGAGUUGCUUCAUAAGUACCACUGCUGUGAUCUUUUCUGUAGGUUCCCAUGACAAUGCUAUAGGGGCUUUGUUUGUUCAUGGGAACUUGAGGAACACAGGGAAUUCUUGUUCAAUAAUGAACGCAAUGCGGCUUGGAAAAGACUCUUGGUAGACACGAACAAAAAAGUAUAGCCAGAGCAGCCUUCAGAAAUCAUUCCUGCAGUUUUUGGAAGCGUUUCUCAAGGUCUGAAUGGAGGCUGUGAAGGUGAUGCUGGCUGUGAUUUCCAUUUAUCAAGGGAAUGAACAAGGUAUAUCAAGGCCAAGUGACCUAUUCUGUGACUCUGGCAUCUGGCCUCUAGUAACACAACCAGGCCAAGAAUCAGGCUGACUCUCCCAGUAAUUCAGGGGAAGCAAUGGCUCCAUUUAUA
rnacentral:lncRNA from 1 species